UUGAUCUGCCCCCCUUAACGCACAAUGAGAGGCUCUCACUCAUAAAUUGUCCAUUUGGGGCGGGAAAUGUGACCACUCGACACCAUAACCAGCUGGAGUGGCGCCCAGGCAUAUGAGCGUCGAUACAUUCGCUGUGACUCCAGCACCCUAUAAACCUGCCCUGCAGGCAGGUGAUGGGCAGCAACACCAGUUUCCACACGUCAACAGGGAACAAACAUAAAAAGCCAGAGCCGCCAAACUGGAUCCCCCCUUAAUCUCUCAGUCCACAUCAGAUGAGGGAGCAGCCAGACGACCCCCAAGCCGAAGCAGCGAGCAAACAGGGGAGGGGGGAGAUCUAUAUUCCACGGAGCGGCUCGCAGCACUCAGGGCUUGGCAAAGUUAAAGCGUCUCGACAAGCAUCUGAUGGAUUUCCAUUAGAUUCUGUUGAGACACGAGACGGACUUUGAUGAUCUCCAGACUUUUCCUCCGACAUCAUGGAAAGAUUGAUACAUCUGGGAAACGUCUCAACAAAUGCUGGAUGGAUUGUGGUGAAAUUCGGUGAGGAUAUACACGGUGUCUGAAAGAUAAAUCCUAAUGACUCUGGUGACCGACCUCCUCUUAACAAUCAGCCGCAAGUCCAAUUAUUUAGUCACUGCCUGCACCUUUUUACUGCUCAUUAAAUAGUCCCUAUUCUGGAUCUCUGUCUCCUCUGAGACCAGAUUGUGGGGACAUUUUCCCAGAAAAGGUUUUGCAAGUGGCCAGAGAAGAGCUACCCGAUCCUUGACGACUCAAUGAUCUGAUCUGUAUUCAGUCUUCAUACCAUAAUCCUUUAUUUCAUUCAUUUAUCUGUGUUUAUCUGUGCAGUUGCUUCCUGUAGCAUGCUUAAAAAUGCCCAUCACAUGCACCAUCGCUGCCGUUUCCCUGCACAAUUAUCUCAAACAGAGGUGGCGUCGCGCCGAGGUGAUCUCAGCAGUUGCACGCUACGGCAGAAGAUGGCAGAGACAGAUGAAAGACCGCCUGCAUGCGAGACUGGAAGAUGAGACGGAGGGUCCUCAUCAGAGCUCUUUAGAGCAGGGAAAUAACCAACCAUAAUUCCCCAACCAAAUCACUCCACAGCAUCAAAGGUUUGGCAUUAUCUCUCUCUCUCUCUCACACACACACGCGCACACACACACGCGUCUAUGAAGCAAUGGC
rnacentral:lncRNA from 1 species